UACGUAGGGUGCAAGCGUUAAUCGGAAUUACUGGGCGUAAAGCGUGCGCAGGCGGUUAUGUAAGACAGUUGUGAAAUCCCCGGGCUCAACCUGGGAACUGCAUCUGUGACUGCAUAGCUAGAGUACGGUAGAGGGGGAUGGAAUUCCGCGUGUAGCAGUGAAAUGCGUAGAUAUGCGGAGGAACACCGAUGGCGAAGGCAAUCCCCUGGACCUGUACUGACGCUGAGGAGCGAAAGCGUGGGGAGCGAACAGG
rnacentral:rRNA from 1 species